rnacentral:rRNA from 1 species
CCUACGGGUGGCAGCAGUGGGGAAUAUUGGACAAUGGGCGAAAGCCUGAUCCAGCCAUGCCGCGUGUGUGAAGAAGGCCUUCGGGUUGUAAAGCACUUUCAGUGGGGAAGAAAGCCUUGGGGUUAAUACCCUCGAGGAAGGACAUCACCCACAGAAGAAGCACCGGCUAACUCCGUGCCAGCAGCCGCGGUAAUACGGAGGGUGCGAGCGUUAAUCGGAAUUACUGGGCGUAAAGCGCGCGUAGGCGGUCUGAUAAGCCGGUUGUGAAAGCCCCGGGCUCAACCUGGGAACGGCAUCCGGAACUGUCAGGCUAGAGUGCAGGAGAGGAAGGUAGAAUUCCCGGUGUAGCGGUGAAAUGCGUAGAGAUCGGGAGGAAUACCAGUGGCGAAGGCGGCCUUCUGGACUGACACUGACGCUGAGGUGCGAAAGCGUGGGUAGCAAACAGGAUUAGAUACCCCUGUAGUC